UUCCAUAACUAUAAAACGCUAACGGUUUUCACUGUUUAUAUAAUUAAACGCUGCAUUUGAUUAUCUCUUACCUUCAGAAUUAACAGCAGGGUACAGGAGGUAAAGGAUAUUGUAUCAAUAACAGCAGGGUACAGGAGGUAAAGGAUGGUGUAUCAGUAACAGCAGGGUACAGGAGGUAAAGGAUGGUGUAUCGAUAACAGCAGGGAACAGGAGGUAAAGAACGGUGUAUCAGUAACAGCAGGGUACAGGUGGUAAAGGAGGCUGUAUCGAUAACAGCAGGGUACAGGAGGUAAACGAGGCUGUAUCGAUAACAGCAGGGUACAGGAAGUAAAGGAGGCUGUAUCAGUAACAGCAGGGUACAGGAGGUAAAGGAUGGUGUAUCGAUAACAGCAGGGUACAGGUGGUAAAGGAGGCUGCAUCGAUAACAGCAGGGUACAGGAGGUAAAGGAUGGUGUAUCAGUAACAGCAGGGUACAGGAGGUAAAGGAUGGUGUAUCGAUAACAGCAGGGUACAAUGGGUAAAGGAUCGUGUAUCAGUAACAGCAGGGUACAGGAGGUAAAGGAUGGUGUAUUGAUAACAGCAGGGUACAGGAGGUAAAGGAUGGUGUAUCAGUAACAGCAGGAUACAGGAGGUAAAGGAUGGUGUAUCUGUCACAGCAGGGUACAGGAGGUAAAGGAUGGUGUAUCGAUAGCAGCAGAGUACAGGAGGUAAAGGAUAGUGUAUCAGUAACAGCAGGGUACAGGAGGGUUAGGACGGUGUAUCAGGAACAGCAGGGUACAGGAGGUAAAAGAUUGUGUAUCGAUAACAGCAGGGUACAGGAGGUAAAGGAGGCUGUAUCGAUAACAGCAGGGUACAGGAGGUAAAGGAUUGUGUAUCGAUAACAGCAGGGUACAGGAGGUAAAGGAGGCUGUAUCGAUAACAGCAGGGUACAGGAGGUAAAGGAUGGUGUAUCAGUAACAGCAGGGUACAAGAGGUCAAGGAGGCUGUAUCGAUAACAGCAGGGUGCAGGAGGUAAAGGAUGGUGUAUCGAUAACAGCAGGGUACAGGAGGUAAAGGAUGGUGUAUCAGUAACAGCAGGGUUACAAUAGGUAAAGGAUGGUGUAUCGAUAACGGCAGGGUACAGGAGGUAAAGGAUGGUGUAUCAGUAACAGCAGGGUAUACGAGGUAAAGGAUGGUGUAUCAGUAACAGCAGGGGACAGGAGGUAAAGGAUAUUGUAUCAAUAACAGCAGAGUACACGAGGUAAAUGAUGGUGUAUCAGUAACAGCAGGGUACAGGAGGUAAAGGAUGGUGUAUCAGUAACAGCAGGGUACAGGAGGUUAAGGAUGGUGUAUCAGUAACAGC